rnacentral:tRNA from 1 species
CUACAGGUGGUGUAGUGGUUUGAGUGUUGGACUACAACUCUAGAGGCCAGGGUUCGAUUCCCUGCUCAGCGA